GACGAACGCUGGCGGCGUGCCUAAUACAUGCAAGUAGAACGCACAGUUUAUACCGUAGCUUGCUACACCAUAGACUGUGAGUUGCGAACGGGUGAGUAACGCGUAGGUAACCUGCCUGGUAGCGGGGGAUAACUAUUGGAAACGAUAGCUAAUACCGCAUAAUAUUAAUUAUUGCAUGAUAAUUAAUUGAAAGGUGCAAUUGCACCACUACCAGAUGGACCUGCGUUGUAUUAGCUAGUAGGUGAGGUAACGGCUCACCUGGGCGACGAUACAUAGCCGACCUGAGAGGGUGAUCGGCCACACUGGGACUGAGACACGGCCCAGACUCCUACGGGAGGCAGCAGUAGGGAAUCUUCGGCAAUGGACGAAAGUCUGACCGAGCAACGCCGCGGGAGUGAAGAAGGUUUUCGGAUCGUAAAGCUCUGUUGUAAGAGAAGAACGGGUGUGAGAGUGGAAAGUUCACACUGUGACGGUAUCUGACCAGAAAGGGACGGCUAACUACGUG
rnacentral:rRNA from 1 species